AACGAAACAAAAAAAGGGCAGUGAAAAACAAAAACAUCUUCCAACAGUAAAGAAAAAAGAUGAAUAUUAGCAGGUUUUUGCCAUUCUUCUUCUCCCCUCUUCACUUCUCUUCCUCUCUCCCCUUCUUUUCUCCCCUCUUCUCUCAAACACCACUGUUGUUGAGGAGAUAGGCCACAUAAGAAAGAAAGAGAGAAAUGACAGUCUUUUUCUGCCACAGAAUAAGCCUUAUCUUUACUUAAAUCGGCAAAAAAUAGUAAAAGAUAACGAAAGAUCGCACUGGAAAUAGCAUCCA
rnacentral:RNase_P_RNA from 13 species